rnacentral:rRNA from 1 species
GAUGAACGCUGGCGGCGUGCCUAAUACAUGCAAGUCGAGCGAACAGAUGAGGAGCUUGCUCCUCAGACGUUAGCGGCGGACGGGUGAGUAACACGUGGAUAACCUCACUAUAAGACAGGGAUAACUUCGGGAAACCGGAGCUAAUACCGGAUAAUAUAUUGAACCGCAUGGUUCAAUAGUGAAAGACGGUUUUGCUGUCACUUAUAGAUGGUUCCGCGCCGCAUUAGCUAAUUGGUAAGGUAACGGUUUACCAAGGCAACGAUGCGUAGCCGACCUGAGGGGGUGAUCGGCCACACUGGAACUGAGACACGGUCCAGACUCCUACGGGAGGAAGCAGUAGGGAAUCUUCCGCAAUGGGCGAAAGCCUGACGGAGCAACGCCGCGUGAGUUAUGAAGGUCUUCGGAUCUUAAAACACUGUUAUUAGGGAAGAACAAAUGUGUAAGUAACUAUGCACGUCUUGACGGUACCUAAUCAGAAAGCCACGGCUAACUACGUG